rnacentral:rRNA from 1 species
ACGGAAGGCAGCAGUGGGGAAUAUUGCACAAUGGGGGAAACCCUGAUGCAGCGACGCCGCGUGAGUGAAGAAGUAUUUCGGUAUGUAAGGCUCUAUCAGCAAGGAAGAAAAUGACGGUACUUGACUAAGAAGCCCCGGCUAACUACGUGCCAGCAGCCGCGGUAAUACGUAGGGGGCAAGCGUUAUCCGGAUUUACUGGGUGUAAAGGGAGCGUAGACGGUAAUGCAAGUCAGAAGUGAAAGCCCAAGGCUCAACCAUGGGACUGCUUUUGAAACUGUAAUACUAGAGUGCAGGAGAGGUAAGUGGAAUUCCUAGUGUAGCGGUGAAAUGCGUAGAUAUUAGGAGGAACACCAGUGGCGAAGGCGGCUUACUGGACUGUAACUGACGUUGAGGCUCGAAAGCGUGGGGAGCAAACAGGAUUAGAUACCCUGGUA